UACGGGGGGGGCAAGCGUUGUUCGGAAUUACUGGGCGUAAAGGGCUCGUAGGCGGCCAACUAAGUCAGACGUGAAAUCCCCAGGCCCAACCUGGGAACUGCGUCUGAUACUGGAUGGCUUGAAUCCGGGAGAGGGAUGCAGAAUUCCAGGUGUAGCGGUGAAAUGCGUAGAUAUCUGGAGGAAUACCGGUGGCGAAGGCGGCAUCCUGGACCGGCAUUGACGCUGAGGAGCGAAAGCCAGGGGAGCAAACGGG
rnacentral:rRNA from 1 species